UACGUAGGUGGCAAGCGUUGUCCGGAUUUACUGGGCGUAAAGGGUGCGUAGGUGGUUUUUUUAAGUCAGAAGUGAAAGGCUACGGCUCAACCGUAGUAAGCCUUUGAAACUGUAGGGCUUGAGUGCAGGAGAGGAAAGUAGAAUUCCCAGUGUAGCGGUGAAAUGCGUAGAUAUUGGGAGGAAUACCAGUUGCGAAGGCGGCUUUCUGGACUGUAACUGACACUGAGGCACGAAAGCGUGGGGAGCGAAC
rnacentral:rRNA from 1 species